rnacentral:lncRNA from 1 species
AUUUCUUUGUGCUUCUUUUUGUUCUUAGGAGUAUAAGCUUGCUGCAUGUUGGACCAGGCGUUGUGGUAUCGCAUCACUGAGCUGCAGGUAGAUAAACCCAAGGAGCUAAAAUCUUAUCUUUUUGGUUCUCUCCUAGAUUCAGCAGCAGAUGUCGCAUGGAAAAAAAUAUAGUGAAAAGAUAUCCGCAGGGGGAAUCAAAAGAUAAUACACAGCCAACAAGAAACGUCAAGAUCCCUCCUGCACGUCACUGUGUCGUCAACACAGUAUUCCUGAGGCUGUCUGGAGGCAGAUCUGGGAAACCUUCCUUCCAAGCCCUAAAUGCUUCUGAGGUUUUAGACCUUCCACUAAGCCAUAUGGAGGUUCUCAGAGAUGGGUCCUGACUAACUUAGAUGCAAGCUUGAUUAAUUUAACCUAGUGAUAUCUCCAUUCUCUGGUCAGUAUUUUUGUCUAUAUAACGUAUUUAUUCACUGAACGUUUUCUGAACAUCUACCAUAUUCACGGCACUGUUCUAGGACCUGAGAACAUGCCAGUGAACUGUAUAAUCAAGAUUUUGCCCUUUUAUUUAAAUAGUUAAUGAAGAAGACAAUCUAAUAAGAAAAUAAAUAAAAGUAAAGUAGAAAUAAAAUCCA